rnacentral:lncRNA from 1 species
UGAUAUGUCUUCCGACAGCUCUGCAGCUAGUUCUAACCUGUACUAUGGCCGGUCGAGCGAGUGGCGCCGGCGUCAGGACCUGAUCAACCGGAUUCGCCGGUUGCCGGCCGAGCUUAUCACGGUGAGAAUCGCGGAGGCGUUGGAGGACGAGGAGCAGUCCUAUGAGUCUGCUCUGGAGAUUGUUUACCAUGAGCUUCUGCUACCGGGUCGCGCCCGGGACGCGGAGGAGGUGGACGGGCGGUUGAUGGUGCCGAUUGACAACCCGCCGGUUCCUCCUGG